UUAAAAAAACCUUUUCGUCAUACAUAUGAACGUAAAUGAAUUUGGAAUAUCCUUGUUGUUUAUAAGUUGGUUAUUACGCACAUUUAAAAACCUUCCUACGACACUGAAUGCGCCUAUAUUUCAGUAUAUAUUAUUUCUCUUUAUCUGAAUGAAUAUUUUCUCUUAGAAAAAAUAGCAAAGAAUGGAAAAAAUAAAUUCUGCUGGAAGUAGUCGAAAAAAAAGGUUUCCCCAUGUUUUAUUGUUUAAAGUGUUAUGCUUCUUUUUAAAGGACGAAGCGGAAAAUAUUUUACUUCAAAUUACCAGUAAAGAAUUUCUAGACGUAUUUGUUAUGUGAUUAACAGCUUUUGAGUUUUUUUUCAAGAAACAUUAUAAUGAAAUUAAAUUCUAUUAAUUAUUUACAAAAGCUCAUCAGAAUAUGACAUGCUCAUUGAGUUUGUAAAAAUAUUAUACCCCUAAUAUACAUGUAUACAUACUAUUCGGCCGAAUACCAGUUUGUAACGAAAAAAACGCACAAAAAAGGAUUAUAUGUAACUAUGCUUUUUUAAUUUUUAAUAAAACUUUUAAUAAUAA